rnacentral:misc_RNA from 1 species
CUCUUUCUUCUUGUUGAAUUGUGUCCUUCUUAUGUGUCGUUGACCCUUUUUACACGACACUUCUUCUGCGACUUCUUCUUCGUGGAGCUUCUUCUCUUUUCUUCAUCUCUUCUCACUGAAGCUUCCUUUUAUUUGUGCAGGUUCAAUUAAGGAAAUCAACUUCAACAAGUUUUCAUCCUUCCCAUUUCCUCGAACCAAGAAGAUGGUUUUUUGUGUUUUUAUUUUGGGGGUGUGCCGGCUGAUUUUAAGAAGCAUAUAAGGAAUGCAUGCAAUACUUUUCUUGUGCCAAGUGCAACAACCAUCAAAAUUCAAAGUUUCUCUGCCACAACUUGAACUUGCUUUAGGUGCAACUGUGCAAGAUCUACUAAUCUCACGUCACGCCUCUACCCUCAAAUCUUUGCAACUUCGGUUUUAUAGAUCUGCUUCUUUUUGUACGUUUCUUUGAUUAGCUGAUCUCCAAAUUAACGAAAUAAAUGGUUCGGAUUUGUUACUCCAUUUACGGAUUACUUG